rnacentral:rRNA from 1 species
CAAUAGCGUAUAUUAAAGUUGUUGCGGUUAAAAAGCUCGUAGUUGGAUCUCGGCAGGCAGGGGGUGGUUCGCUCUUAGCGCUACUGCCCCAUUUGCCUGUGUGAUUGGCGGAGGUCUCGGGGUGCUCUUCGUUGAGUGACCCGGGGCGCCGUCAGGUUUACUUUGAAAAAAUUAGAGUGCUCAAAGCAGGCUUUUCACGCUUGAAUAUUCGUGCAUGGAAUAAUGGAAUAGGAACUCGUUUCUAUUUUGUUGGUUUUCGGAAAUCGAGUUAAUGAUUAAUAGGGACAAUUGGGGGCAUUAGUAUUCAGACGACAGAGGUGAAAUUCUUGGACCGUCUGAAGACUAACUACUGCGAAAGCAUUUGCCAAGAGUGUUUUCAUUAA